rnacentral:rRNA from 1 species
UGACGCUGAGGCCCGAAAGCGUGGGGAGCAAACAGGAUUAGAUACCCUGGUAGUCCACGCUGUAAACUAUGGACACUAGGUAUGGGGAGUAUCGACCCUCUCCGUGCCGAAGCUAACGCUUCAAGCGUCCCGCCUGGGGACUACGGUCGCAAGACUAAAACUCAAAGGAGUUGACGGGGGCCCGCACAAGCAGCGGAGCGUGUGGUUUAAUUCGAUGCAACGCGAAGAACCUUACCAGGGCUUGACACGUCGGAAGUAGUGAACCGAAAGGGGAACAACCUGUCAAGUCAGGAGCCGUCACAGGUGCUGCAUGGUUGUCGUCCGCUCGUGCCGUGAGGCGUCGGGUUAAGUCCCAUAACGAGCGCAACCCUUGUCGCCAGUUGUUUUUUCUGGCG